rnacentral:rRNA from 1 species
AACGUAGGAGACGAGCGUUAUCCGGAUUUACUGGGCGUAAAGCGCGUGCAGGCGGCUUGGCAAGUUGGAUGUGAAAUCUCCCGGCUCAACUGGGAGGGGUCGUUCAAAACUACCGAGCUAGAGGAUGGUAGAGGAAGGUGGAAUUCCCGGUGUAGUGGUGAAAUGCGUAGAUAUCGGGAGGAACACCAGUGGCGAAAGCGGCCUUCUGGACCAUUCCUGACGCUCAGACGCGAAAGCUAGGGGAGCGAACGGGAUUAGAGACCCCGGUAGUCCUAGCUGUAAACGAUGCAAACUUGGCGUCGGUGGGUUAAAAACCAUCGGUGCCGUAGCUAACGCGAUAAGUUUGCCGCCUGGGGACUACGGCCGCAAGGUUAAA